UAAGUCUAAACGACUCUCGGCAACGGAUAUCUCGGCUCUCGCAUCGAUGAAGAACGUAGCGAAAUGCGAUACUUGGUGUGAAUUGCAGAAUCCCGUGAACCAUCGAGUCUUUGAACGCAAGUUGCGCCCGAAGCCUCGGCUGAGGGCACGUCUGC
rnacentral:rRNA from 1 species